rnacentral:tRNA from 1 species
GGGUACGUAGCUCAGUUGGUAGAGCACUUCCUUUGCACGGAAGGGGUCGCGGGUUCGAAACCUGUCGUAUCCA